UACAUGGGGUGCAAACGUUGCUCGGAAUCAUUGGGCGUAAAGCGCGCGUAGGCGGUUAUCUAAGUCGGAUGUGAAAGCCCUCGGCUUAACUGAGGAAGUGCACCCGAAACUGGAUAGCUAGAGUACUAAAGAGGGUCGCGGAAUUCCCGGUGUAGCGGUGAAAUGCGCAGAUAUCGGGAAGAACACCCGUGGCGAAGGCGGCUCUCUGGGACGGUACUGACGCUGAGACGCGAAAGCGUGGGGAGCGAACAGG
rnacentral:rRNA from 1 species